AGCGAGGUAGAGGAAUUGGUCAACACAUCAGGCUCAUGACCUGAAGACUACAUGUUCGAAUCGUGUCCUCGCCU
rnacentral:tRNA from 1 species